GGAGUCAAAGUCUGAAAGCCGUAGCAGCUGGAAAAACAAGAGGGAUAGGUCUUACAGCCCAGAUAGGAGGAACACCUACAAGAGGAAUCCCUACGUAAGGCCUGCUGGAGAAAAAUCCUCGAGCCGGGAUGGCAAGACCUCGCCCAUUACCGUAAACACAACCAGCACGCAGGGCUUCGACAAGUCAAGGUUGACAAUGAGGAAGACAAGAGA
rnacentral:lncRNA from 1 species